UACGUAGGGUCCGAGCGUUGUCCGGAAUUAUUGGGCGUAAAGGGCUCGUAGGCGGUUUGUCGCGUCGGGAGUGAAAACUCAGGGCUCAACCCUGAGCGUGCUUCCGAUACGGGCAGACUAGAGGUAUGCAGGGGAGAACGGAAUUCCUGGUGUAGCGGUGGAAUGCGCAGAUAUCAGGAGGAACACCGGUGGCGAAGGCGGGUCUCUGGGC
rnacentral:rRNA from 1 species